GAAAUGCGAUAAGUAGUGUGAAUUGCAGAAUUCAGUGAAUCAUCGAAUCUUUGAACGCACAUUGCGCCCCUCGGUAUUCCGUGGGGCAUGCCUGUUCGAGCGUCAUCUACACCCUCAAGCUCUGCUUGGUGUUGGGCGUCUGUCCCGCCUUCGCGCGUGGACUCGCCCCAAAUGCAUUGGCAGCGGUCCUUGCCCCCUCCCGCGCAGCACAUUGCGCUUCUCGCUUCUGCAGUUGUCCCGGCCGUCUUGCCAUAAAAGCCCAAACUUUUUUGUUUUCUAUGGUUGACCUCGGAUCAGGUAGGAAUACCCGCUGAACUUAAGC
rnacentral:misc_RNA from 1 species